rnacentral:rRNA from 1 species
CCUACGGGAGGCUGCAGUGAGGAAUAUUGGUCAAUGGACGGAAGUCUGAACCAGCCAUGCAGCGUGCAGGAUGACGGCUCUCUGAGUUGUAAAAUGCUUUUGUUAGAGAAGAUCAUGAAGGUAUCUCCCGACUAAGCACCUGCUAACUCCGUGAAAGCAGCCGCGGUAAUACGGAGGGGGCAAGCGUUAUUCGGAAUCACUGGGCGUAAAGAGCGCGUAGGAGGGCUAGCAAGUCAGAUGUGAAAUCCUAUGGCUUAACCAUAGAACUGCAUUUGAAACUGGUAUUCUAGAGUAUGGUAGAGGUAGGUGGAAUUCGUGGUGUAGGGGUAAAAUCCGUAGAGAUCAAGAGGAAUACUCAUUGCGAAGGCGACCUGCUAGAACAUGACUGACGCUGAUGCUCGAAAGCGUGGGGAGCAAACAGGAUUAGAUACCCGAGUAGUC